GACGGGGGAUGCAAGCGUUAUCCGGAAUCACUGGGCGUAAAGCGUCUGUAGGCGGUGAUGCAAGUCACUGGUGCAAAACUCUGGCUCAACCGGAGGAAAGCCAGUGAAACUGCAUGGCUAGAGUGUGGGAGAGGUAGAAGGAAUUCCCUGAGUAGCGGUGAAAUGCGUAGAUACAGGGAAGAACACCGGAGGCGAAAGCGUUCUACUGGAACACAACUGACACUGAGAGACAAAAGCUAGGGGAGCGAAUGGG
rnacentral:rRNA from 1 species